rnacentral:rRNA from 1 species
UGGGUAGUCCGCACGAGCGCACCUCAUUUUUAGUUGCCAUCAGGUAAUGCUGGGAACUCUAAAAAAACUGCCGGUGAUAAGCUGGAGGAAGGUGGGGAUGACGUCAAGUCCUCAUGGCCCUUAUGUGUUGGGCUACACACGUGCUACAAUGGCAUUUACAAUAGGAAGCAAGAUGGCGACAUUAAGCAAAUCCUAAAAAAAUGCCUCAGUUCGGAUUGUACUCUGCAACUCGAGUACAUGAAGCUGGAAUUACUAGUAAUCGUGGAUCAGCGUGCCACGGUGAAUACGUUCCCGGGUCUUGUACACACCGCCCGUCACACCAUGGGAGUUGGUUCUACCUUAAGGCAAAGUUUAAAACCUUUGACCACGGUAUAGUCAGCGACUGGGGUGAAGUCGUAACAAGGUAGCCGUAGGGGAACCUGCGGCUGGAUUACCUCCUUUCU